rnacentral:rRNA from 1 species
UACGUAGGGUGCAAGCGUUAAUCGGAAUUACUGGGCGUAAAGCGUGCGUAGGUGGUUUUUAAGUCCGUUGUGAAAGCCCUGGGCUCAACCUGGGAAUGGCAGUGGAUACUGGAAAGCUAGAGUGCGGUAGAGGGUAGUGGAAUUCCCGGUGUAGCAGUGAAAUGCGUAGAGAUCGGGAGGAACACCAGUGGCGAAGGCGGCUACCUGGACCAGCACUGACACUGAGGCACGAAAGCGUGGGGAGCAAACAGG